AUGCCGAUGCUUUUGCAUAUAUUUUCUCCACCACACUUGCUCUUCCAGAAUCUCCAUCACAGAGCAGCAGCAGCUGCAGGAGAGGAAAAUGUUGCUGUAGCUGAAGAGAGCUGGAGACCAAGGCUCCCUGUGUUCUGCUUCCCUUCCCAGAAACCUCCAUCUCAGGCGCACAGGUUUCAGAUCCAAGUCAGGGGGUCCCUGUGGGGUCCUCUACGCCUUAAGAAGCCUGGGAGCCAGAUGAGCACGAGGCCGACUGAAUGAUGAGGUGGAUCGGACUCUCCAUUUCCGAGGCAGAAACAUUCUUUCUCAGCUUCAGCGCCCAAGGUAUUCACCAGACUUGGCUCCAGUGGACACGUACUGUUUCCAAAACUCAGAUCUCCCCUGCAAAGGAUGAAGAGGUGCCAUUACUGAAGAGAUUUUGAAAAUAUGUUAGAGACUGAAGAGAAUCUCCAGAGAGGAGGGGCAAAAAGUCUUUUGAGUAGCGUUGGAAGUAAGGGCAUGGAGUCCUCAUAAGCCAGUGGGCGCAUGGGAUGCCCGGUUGCUCUUGUUACCCUAUUUGUGGAGCUCUUAGACAACAGGGAAGAUGGAGCUGUGGCCCCAGAGGGCCUGCGAGAGGUAACCACGUCUUAGUCUCUGGGAAUUCCUGGCUUAGAAGCAAGGAUUUGCUGAGCACCAUGCUCUCUGGGGGCAGGUAGGAGAGGCUGGACAUGGGUGUUAACAAAUCUAACUCUCCAAACCUGUGUGUACCUAGGGAGUUAGUUCCUUGCUUUGGGCCAUGUUACAAGGGGCAGAAGGAGAAAUUCUUAGGCCAAAUACAUCUGGGAAACAGUUGAAGUAAAACAGGAUUUUUUUUUUUUUUAAUUGCAGGACUUCUCAUAACCUUUGGUAUUCUAGGAAAGGGAUAUUGUAGGCAGCAUUUUCCAAGUGAUUUGCUCAUGGAAACAUUUAUUUGCAUGGGAUCACUUGGGACUAAUGUUCUCUGGAACACACGUUGCAAAGAAAAGAAACCAGGUCAAAGAAUCUUAGGGACCUUAGAGUCUGUUUCCUCAUCUUAGAAAUCAGAUUAUAGAUCCUGAGAGAGAAAACAGUUUCCCCAGGAUCACACAGAUGGUUUUUGGCUCGUGCUGGAAGAGAAAGUAGGAUCUCGUGUAGAAAGUAGCAGGUCCUAGGGAUCCGGGUAUAUUCUUUCUACUAUAUCACAUUGUACUUGUCACUGACCUUUUGUACAGGGAUUCGAUGCUAUUCUUUAGUAAAGCUGAAGUCAGGAAGGAGAGAUAAUCAGGAGACAGAUUUUCAAGGGGUUUGAAUGCCAAAUAUUUCUGAAUUUUAUCCAACUAUGUUAUACUUCCUCUUGGCACUUACAACACCAUAUCAUCGUUGCUGGUGGCAGAUUAUGUUAUUUUGCUCAUAUCUCGCUGCUUUUCCCGUCUUUGCUAUGGCAGGUGGGGUCCACUUCCCUGUCUCAUUGAUGUUGGGCUUGGCUAUGUGUUUUGGGCUGAAUUGUGGCCCUCCCAAAAUUCAUAUGUUGAAGUCCUAACCCAGUACCUUAGAAUGUGACUGUAUUUGAAGAUAAGGUUUUUAAAGAGGUGAUUAAGUUAAAAUGAGGUUAAGAAGAUGGGCACUAAUCCAAUAUGACUGAUGUUCUUGUAAGAAAAGGGGAUUAAGACACAGGCACAGAAGGAAGACCAAGUGAAGACACAGGGAGAAGGGGACCAUCUACAAGCCAAGGAGGGGAGCCUCAGGAGAAACCAACACUGCCGACACCUUGAUCUGGGACCUCUAGCCUCCGGAACUGGAGACUGAAUGAGACAAUAAAUUUCUGUUGUUGAAGCCA
ensembl:lncRNA